GACGAACCACACGACCGUUAUUCGGAAUUACUGGGCUUAAAGGGUGCGUAGGCGGCGCGGUAAGUAGGGUGUGAAAUCCCUCGGCUCAACCGAGGAACUGCGCUCUAAACUACCGUGCUCGAGGGGGAUAGAGGUGAGCGGAACUUAGGGUGGAACGGUGAAAUGUGUUGAUAUCCUAAGGAACACCGGUGGCGAAAGCGGCAUCCUGGACCAAUAUUGACGCUGAGGAGCGAAAGCUAGGGGAGCAAACGGG
rnacentral:rRNA from 1 species